rnacentral:rRNA from 1 species
UACGUAGGGCGCAAGCGUUGUCCGGAAUUAUUGGGCGUAAAGAGCUCGUAGGCGGCUUUCACGUCGGGUGUGAAAGCCCGGGGCUUAACCCCGGGUCUGCAUUCGAUACGGGCUAGCUAGAGUGUGGUAGGGGAGAUCGGAAUUCCUGGUGUAGCGGUGAAAUGCGCAGAUAUCAGGAGGAACACCGGUGGCGAAGGCGGAUCUCUGGGCCAUUACUGACGCUGAGGAGCGAAAGCGUGGGGAGCGAACAGG